AACUUCUAACAAGUGAACAACACUAACAGCUGUAACUACAAGCAAAUGUAAAAAACAGAGAUCGGGUGCCGGUUCCGGACCCAGCGUACCCGCCCUACCUGAGACGAUCGCCUGAUCUUGUCUCCCACAUUUUGGCCACUAGAUGGCCUGCAUCAGCCCGUGUCGGCUGUUAUGCCCCCAUCAAUUGAGACUUAGCCGGACAUUUCUCUCUUCAGUAGGUAUCUCCAUUCAGUUAUUUACGUUAUCAUGCACUUGAACAUUUCUUCACCAGAAUGCAUUCUCAUUUAACAACAUUAAAUGGAACAGGUGACGAAAUACUGCCUCUGUUACCUUGCC